rnacentral:rRNA from 1 species
AUUGAACGCUGGCGGCAUGCUUUACACAUGCAAGUCGAACGGCAGCACGGGAGCUUGCUCCUGGUGGCGAGUGGCGAACGGGUGAGUAAUGCAUCGGAACGUACCUAUUAGUGGGGGAUAACGCUUCGAAAGGAGUGCUAAUACCGCAUACGACCUGAGGGUGAAAGUGGGGGACCAGCAAUGGCCUCAUGCUAAUAGAUCGGCCGAUGUCUGAUUAGCUAGUUGGCGGGGUAAGAGCCCACCAAGGCGACGAUCAGUAGCGGGGCUUAGAGGACGACCCGCCAAACUGGAACUGAGACACGGUCAAGACUCCUACGGGAGGCAGCAGUGGGGAGUCUUGGACAAUGGGCGCAAGCCUGAUCCAGCAAUGCCGCGUGGGUGAAGAAGGCCUUCGGGUUGUAAAGCCCUUUUGUUUGGGAGCAAAUCCUACUGGUUAAUACCUGGUGGGGAUGAGAGUACCAAAAGAAUAAGCACCGGCUAACUACGUGCCAGCCGCCGCGGUAACAC